CUCGUGUGAGUUUGCAGACGGAGCUCAGAGCAGGAUUCACUCUGGACCUUUAUCUCUUCAAGACUUCAUCUUGAUUCUGCACGGUUUUAGAAACAUUCUGGAUCAUUCUGCAUUCCUCCUCUUCUCACAGAGUCGAAAUUGAGUAUAGAAAGGAAAAAACACAUACAGAAACUGCCAUCAGAAACCACAGAUGAGAAAAAUGGAGGACAGAAAUGAAACACAAACCACUGGAUCUCAAGAGAAAAGCAGACAGAAAUUUGAUAGAUGGCACAGUAUUGACAGAAAAAGACCAUGGUUGUCAGAUGAUCCAGGAGUGGAGGGAAAGUUUCAUUCUGAUGUUAAAAGCUGUUCAGCAUCAGUGAGACACCAGCAGCUGAAGACCUGAACAUCUUCAUCUUCAUCUUCAUCUUCAUCUUCAUCUUCAUCAUUUUCUUCAUCAUCAUCAUCUUCAUCAUUGUCAUCAUCAUCUUCAUCAUCUUCAUCUUCAUCAUCAUAUUCAUCAUCUUUAUCUUCAUCAUUGUCAUCAUCAUCUUCAUCAUCUUCAUCUUCAUCAUCAUCAUC